UCUACACAUUAAGUAACAACUCGCCAUUCCUCUUUCCUCCCUGCCCGCCCCAGCAAUUGCCCCUCAACUUUCUGUCUCUGUGAACCCGAUUAUUCUACGAUCCUCACCCUUGAGCUGCAUUGCAAAGGUCUCCAUAGUUUCCAGGCCCCAGGAAAGGGAGCACAAAGGCAGAAGAACAUUUACCUCUCCACGCUGUCACUGACUGAUGUCUCAUCUAGGACCUCCUCAAAGUGUUGUGCUCCCUCAGGCAAGGGGAUGCGAUGGCAGACCCUCAAAGGCACCAGGCCACCCUUUGCCCUCCACAACUCAGCGCUGACAUAUCAAUGGCUGCUGGACUGGCAUGGCCAGAAGGGAUGACAUUCACCAACUCUUGGGAAAUGUGUGACUCUUUUCUGAGACCAUCCUGUGCUCACCACUCUCAACCCACAACUUGUCUUGCACAGCAGAGCCGUUGGGGAUCCCCACCGUCCUGGCCAGGCCCACCCACUUGGCCCAGAAGGUGAUUCCCCAGGGAGAAAUAGUUUAUUAUCAACUGAACACUAACCUCAGAGGAAAAGUCUGAGUUCCAGGGAAGAAAUUCAUUUACUGCAAAGUAUGCAAAGAAAAACUGCAUAAUCAAAAUGAAUACAUGUUUAAUUAAAUGCCUUCAAAGCGACCCAUUAUGUCAACUUCAUUAAUUGGUAAAUUUAGUAUUUAUAAUAAUUUCAUUACAUUUGAAAAAUGAAUUGGAAGUAACAUUUGCCCAUUUGCAAUAAUUCUUGAGGAAAGCAUGGAGACUGCUAAGAAAUAACAUGUGUUCCUCAUAUCCUUAUUUUGAAAAGCGAUAUUAUCAAAGGGGGGCCUGGCUGGCUCAGUCGAUAGAGAUGCAACUCUUGAUCUUGGGGUCGUGAGUUUAAGCCCCAUGCUGGGUAUACAGAUUACUUAAAAAAAAAAAAAAAAGACCUGAUUAAAAGCAAAAUUGUUAAAACCAUCUAAAAAUAUUUUGUAAUAAAAAUAUAUGUGCACGAAUAUACGUGAGUAUGUAUCUAUGUGUUUGCAUAUAUACAUAAAUAUAUAACAGUCACUGAGGGCCGUGCUUAACGUUUCUGAUGCACUGUGAGGCCAGAGUCUUUAAGAGUAAGAAGGUCCAGCACUGCACAAGACCCCAAGUAGCUGUGCGCUCAGCCAGGACCCCCUUCUGUAAGCAUGAGAUAGGAGUCAUGCUGAGCCAAAAGGAAGUUCUUCUUGAAGAAUAAUUUCUAAAAUUAGUCCCUAGCAUGAGGGCAGGAUAUUAGUGGUCUGGGAACUGGGAGAAUCAGAGGCAGAAUUUAGAGAGCUGACAAGGGGAAACCCACCGCCUAACAGGUGUCUUCAAGGCUCCCCUGGCUUUCUAGAAAAACAUAAAAUUCUAUCAUUAGAGCCAAUGCCUUUAUUGGCCUAGAUCCCCUACUGAAGUGCUUUUUCUCUUCCUUAAAAACAAAGAGAAUAACAAAAGUGUAACAUAUAUGAUAAAGAGCACACAUCUUAAGAGUAUGGCCUAGGGCGCCUGGUGGCUCAGUAGAUUAAGCUUCUGACUCUUGAUUUCAGCUCAGGUCAUGAUGUUGCAGUUUGUGGGUUUGAGCCCCACAUUGGUCUCCAAGCUGACAGUGC